AGAGUUUGAUCAUGGCUCAGAUUGAACGCUGGCGGCAGGCUUAACACAUGCAAGUCGAGCGGAGAUGAGGUGCUUGCACCUUAUCUUAGCGGCGGACGGGUGAGUAAUGCUUAGGAAUCUGCCUAUUAGUGGGGGACAACAUUCCGAAAGGGAUGCUAAUACCGCAUACGUCCUACGGGAGAAAGCAGGGGAUCUUCGGACCUUGCGCUAAUAGAUGAGCCUAAGUCGGAUUAGCUAGUUGGUGGGGUAAAGGCCUACCAAGGCGACGAUCUGUAGCGGGUCUGAGAGGAUGAUCCGCCACACUGGGACUGAGACACGGCCCAGACUCCUACGGGAGGCAGCAGUGGGGAAUAUUGGACAAUGGGGGGAACCCUGAUCCAGCCAUGCCGCGUGUGUGAAGAAGGCCUUAUGGUUGUAAAGCACUUUAAGCGAGGAGGAGGCUACUGAGACUAAUACUCUUGGAUAGUGGACGUUACUCGCAGAAUAAGCACCGGCUAACUCUGUGCCAGCAGCCGCGGUAAUACAGAGGGUGCGAGCGUUAAUCGGAUUUACUGGGCGUAAAGCGUGCGUAGGCGGCUUUUUAAGUCGGAUGUGAAAUCCCCGAGCUUAACUUGGGAAUUGCAUUCGAUACUGGGAAGCUAGAGUAUGGGAGAGGAUGGUAGAAUUCCAGGUGUAGCGGUGAAAUGCGUAGAGAUCUGGAGGAAUACCGAUGGCGAAGGCAGCCAUCUGGCCUAAUACUGACGCUGAGGUACGAAAGCAUGGGGAGCAAACAGGAUUAGAUACCCCGGUAGUCCAA
rnacentral:rRNA from 1 species